UGCUGCGCCAUAAAAUUUGGCUCGUUCCCUACAACCGGCCCGCCAGAAAACUACGGCCGAAAAGCCUAAAACUCCAAGGACUUGACGGUGUCCCAACAACCUAGAGGAGCCUGUCCUAUAAUCGAUACCCCACGUUAUACCUCACCCCCCCUUGCCUCCGCCGCCUAUAUACCGCCGUCGUAACGUCCGCCCCAUGAGCGUACCAACGCGGACAAAACAGUCUACCACGAACACGUCAGGUCAAGGUGUAGCCUAUGAGGGGGCAUGAGAUGGGCUACAAUCUCUAAAACAGAGCCCUAAAAGCACCAUGAAAACCCGCCCGAAAGCCGGAUUUAGCAGUAAACCAGACAAGCUAUGUCAUCUUGAACCCCCCCCGCUCUGGGACACGUACAC
rnacentral:rRNA from 1 species